GACACACAGUCCAGACUGAACAGACUUUAGAACCAGAGUCGUGUGGAGAGAUCAGAGCUGAAUCCAAACCAGCCCGAUGUGUGGAUUGAGCUGAGGGAGCUGAGGGACAUGGUGGUGGAGCAGAGGGUGCAGCUGCAGUUCAGUCAAAGAAGAAGGAGAACACAGCUUUGGAGGGGAGGGUGGUCUCUACUGAAGUGGGUGUGGAAGCACUGAGAGAGGAGAAUGCAAGCUUAAAUGGCUACGUCGGGCCUUUCAAUGUGGACACCAUACUGGUUUUCAGCAAAGAAAUCACAAACAUUGGAAACAUGUUCAGUCCAAUCACAGGUGUUUUCACUGCUCCACUCAGAGGAGUCUAUUACUUCAGGUUUAAUAUAGUUGGUUCCAGCAGUUCAAACAGGCUGGCUGUAUGUUUGUACAAAAAUGAAGAGAAAAAUUUUUAGACGUGACUAAAUUCCCGAAAUGUAGUUAUGUCAUAACUGAAGUUUGAGGGGAGGAGAAUGGCUGAAACCCCUCCCUGGGAAAAACAUCUGGUUCCACUGAGAUACAUUAAAAGUAAAGUAGGUUUUUUCUUCUCCUGUAAAGUGACCAUUUUGGUCACGACAGCAUCGACAUGCAGGACUUAAGCCCCAAAGGCCGCUUACAAAACCUGUGGUGAGAAAUAAAAUACUGGAAAUGCAAAAUACAUUUUCACAAGAUUAAACAAAGAAUACGGCACAUUAACCUUUAUGGCUUAUAAGUAAUAAUUUUGUUAUGAUUUCACUCUCCACCUCCAUGCUGAUCAGCUCUCUCAUCUCCAGUAUAAACUUGAUCCAGAAAUUAAAUUCAGUAAGCUGCUUUAUUUUAUCACUGUCCAAAGAAAUUAAGUAUCUCCAAAAUGGUUACU